rnacentral:lncRNA from 1 species
GAAAGCCACUGACCAAAACCGUUUGAAGCCUCAGAAGAAGACAGGGGACACUCCUGCGGGAAGUUUCCUUUCACAAUGAAGAUGCUCCAUCCUGAGCCUCUGAGAGAGUCGAGAAACGCAGAGAGGUAGAAUUUCGACAGGUGUUGCGGUGCGGCGAGAAGGCUGUCGAAGUUAUACCAUUCUCCGUUCACUUUCCUUAUGCAGAACCAGUGGUCGUGCAAGUGGCAGAUGAAUGCGUUUUCAAGCUCGGGGUCUAUCUGCGCAGGCUCUGCAUCGCGGCAAUUGAGAGGGAUCACUUGUAAGUUCCACACUUCCAAAGCCUUUUGCAAGACCUGUUAAUCAAAAAUACAAAGCUUCCUCAGUGAAAAGUCUGAAGCUUUACACACUACACAGAUAACUAAAAACCUGCAAAAAAUGCUUCUAUCCUUGUACGUUUAUUUAUUAUAAAUGGUAUGUAAAUCUUCUACACACAAAACUUGCAAGCAAAACUGACUCAUGUCUCAGCAGACUAAUCAAGCUACUACCUUUCAAGCUUAUACAGGAACAACAGAUGAUAAGAUACAUGUUACAAGAAACAAUCAUGAUCAGACUCGAAGUGAGUCAAAGAUAUACAAACAUAAAGUCGGAGAAUGCAUCAUUACUAAUCUCAAUUCACUAUAUUUAUUAUCAAAUUGAUUCGAUCUGUAGCACUUAAAUUGGUGUAUUCAUCUUCAAGAUCGCAGAGAUACGCAUUCAAAAGUUUUCCAUUUCAGAUUCUUGUGCACUUAAACAACACACAAAACUUGCAAGCAGAACUGACACGUGUCAAAGCAGACUAAUCAAGCUACUAGCUUUCAAGUUCUGACACGAGACAAUCAUGAUCAAACAGGCGAGUGCGUAACAGAUACAAACAUAAAGUCAAUCUUAGCCCCAUUACUAAUCUCAAUUCACUAACUUUGUAAUCAAAUUGAUCCGAUCUGUAGCACUUAGCUAUAAAAGUUCGAAUCUUUAAACUUGUGCAUUCAAGAAAUGGCAAUUGUACCUGGAUACUGAAAUCGCCGCCGAGGGAAACGUUGUGAGACUCCUCAGAGAAGAAAUCGCCGGCGGAAAAGGUUCCUGCGGCGGCGCCUUCGAGCAUGACCUGGCGCUCCUUCCCGUCGAGAUCGGAGGCGACGGCAGCCAAAUCGAAUUCGGAGAAGAAAGGACCCUGGAGCACGGUGUUGACGCAGUGAACGGCGCAGAGAUUGGCUUCCUGAACCUCGUGGUACAAGAUUCCUCCGUUGCUCGGUCGCUCCAUGGUCGAUCAAGAUUCAAAAUCAAAACCCUAAUCUCCUUUAAGAAUCCGUGACGAUAUAUAUAUGUGGAGCGAUGCGAAAGUCUUUGCCUUGAAGCAAUUAGGAAGGCAAGCAGAAGAAAUGGGAGGAGAUGGGAAGUUGGAAAUAAAAUAUUUACACACACCCUUUUUUCAUUAUCCUUUUAUAUUAAAAUGUUUCCCCCACGUCAUUACACAUGUGUCAUGAUUUUUUUUUAACGAAAUUGUUCUCCUUGUUAAGCUACAAUAAAUUAAAUUUAAAUUCUUGGAUUUGACUUGAGUAAUUUAAUGCUUUUACUUUUUUUACACUUUCAACUUAGUAUGUGAUAUUUUGGUUUCUGAUAUAUGAUGAUAGCAUAUCUAGAAAUGCUUUAGAAAAAAUAACAUACUCGCAAAUAAAAGCGCCAGCGUGCAAUAUAUCCAAACACCGAACCCCCCAGCCAGUCUCCACCGACCUAAACACCUCGAGUCUACUCCUCAACCCCUUCUGCGUCACGCGGUUCCGACACGUCGGAGGGCACUUACACCCCGGUCCACACUCAUGCACCAACGGCCUCAUUCUUAUCAAAUUCCCGUUGUAAUCAUAAGCAAACUCGCCACCGUUCUUCCUCUCGCAGAUGCAGCCGCUGCUACAACCGCUGACACAUUCGCAUCCACUCGCAUUAUCACCAUUACUACCACCCAAUAUGCCGCGAGGGAAAGAAGUAGUGGCGAGAUACUCAUAGUACAACGGCUCCUGAUCGUCAUCAACGUCGUUGAACAAAUACACAGGAGCGUUCUCCUUCCUGUUGGAGAUAUCGAAGCUGAUGUACCCGCUCGGUCUCACAGACAAAGGGUUGGUUUUAAGCGUCUUGGCGAACUUCAACACCGACGUCCCCAUCUCCACCUGCCCUCCGAUCCUCUCCAGCCUAAAUUUAAAAACACCGAACCCGGACUUCCCCACAUCGAACCAAGAAUCAACGAUCCUAAACAGCCCAUCAUAAACAUAAACCUUGCUAGAAACAGCGUUCUCGUACUUAAAACCUCUAACGACUCUCACUUCGAUCCCGUAGUACAUACUCCUCUCCAUAGCGAGAUUCCCACCUUCGAGCUUCUGAUGCUCAGCCUGCCUCCCGAGCUUGUCCUGCCCUCCAUGUCCCGUGUAGAUAAUCACAUCCCCUUGAUCAUCAUCAUCCUCAUAACCACCUGAAUUCAAAUCAAAUCAAUCAAUAGAAAGUUUGUUAUUCAGCUCAAAAGAAAACUAAACCAUAAUUAAUCUAACUAAACCGGAAUCUGACUGAACCGGUUUAAAUUCACCUGAGACAAUCACGCUGGUGGCGAUCGGCUCUCCGUUAGAGCUGCGGGAGCCAAUGAGAUAGUCAAUCCCAGCCUGCGUCUGUCCGUGCAACCCCAUGACGCAGAGCUCGAGCCUGAAGAAGAAGAUGUCUCCGACCUGGACGCCGGGGAUCGAACCGACGAUGCGUUUGUCCCGAUUAAGCCAAAGGAAACGCUCUUUCAUCAUCGAGGCGGCUUUGCUAUCGGGCCUGCCUCUCCUCCUUCCGAGCUCUUCACGAGUCUCCUCGAGGAUCAAGAAGAUCCGAAGAGAAUCGUAGAUCAUCCUCGUCUUCCUCACCACUUCCCGGAACUGCCUCUCUCCCUCGGGGCCGACGUCGGUGAUCCUCACGAGCUCAGACGAGCGCUCCUGAGGUUUACGCGGCUUGAGGGACUGCGAAGGGUAACUGACCGGAUCCGGAUCCGGAUCUUGCUCCUCGGGAACGGGUACGAUGGCGCCGGUUAGGGAAUCGAGGACCGUGACGUCCUCGUGGCGUUUGAGGCGCUGUGCGAAGGCGGAGCGGAAAGUCUCGGCGACGUUGGUGAACUCGGUGUACAAGUUAGGUUCGAGGGGAGAUUGGGUGGUGGUGGUGUUGAAAUUGAAGAAGGAUGAGGGUGGAAUCGGAGUUUGUGGGGAGGAAUCAGUGACUGGCUCCGGCUUAGGGAUCACCAUAGGUAUGUGAGAAGUCAUCUCUCUCUCUCUCUUUCAAGGAGAAGAAGAAGAAGAAGGGGGUAACUAGGUUUUGAGCGAUAAAUCGAAGAAAUAGGGUUUUUUUUUAAUUUUUGGUUCUUCAAGCUAAGCCGAGAAGAAGCUUCAUUCAUUUUCUUAAAUGAUCAAUAUAAACAAACUUUUGAAACAUUUAUUGUUUAACUAAAAGUAUUAUCCCUUCUAGUCUAUUUAUUAUUUUGUCAAAAUCAAUUACAGUUUGUAAAAGUAUUGAAGCAAAAAAUAAACUUACGAAAGCAGUAUUUAAGUAUUUAACACAUAUCAUGAAGCAGAAAAAAAAAAUAUUUAUCUAUUUUAUUUUAAUUUUCUUAAAUGAAUAUAUAAACAAAUAUUUGAAACAUUUACCAUUUCAGUAUUUAAGAUUUUCAGAAUUAAAGAUGGGUUGUUUUACCAAAAAAAAAAGAACUCAAACAAAACACCAUAUCACAAGCCCUUUGGUUUCUGUCGAUGUAAAGCUUUCUAUGUUCUGUAUGUAAAAUAUUUAGACAACAAAAACAAAAACAGAAUCAAAGUAAGUGUUCCUUCACCCACAUCAAUGAAAAGCCUUUGGUUCUCUAUUUUCUCAGCUACUUUUGUUUCUCAGAUUCCUUUUGAGAAGAAGACCCAACAGCUCCAGGAUUAGCACCAGCCGCACAAGCAUCCAGCAAACUCGCUGCAAUCGCUGCCUUCAAGUCAUCAUCCUCCAUCUCCGAAAAAGCCCUCACUUCCUCCCUCGACAAUGCCUCGUAUGGUCUCUGUUGAUCAACAUUAUCACUAGUUCUGUUUCCACUGGCAGAAGAAGGAGAACUCCUCCGCACUGCUCCCGUGGUCUUUAACAGCCUCUCUGCGUCUUCAGGAGAAAGCCACUGACCAAAACCGUUUGAAGCCUCAGAAGAAGACAGGGGACACUCCUGCGGGAAGUUUCCUUUCACAAUGAAGAUGCUCCAUCCUGAGCCUCUGAGAGAGUCGAGAAACGCAGAGAGGUAGAAUUUCGACAGGUGUUGCGGUGCGGCGAGAAGGCUGUCGAAGUUAUACCAUUCUCCGUUCACUUUCCUUAUGCAGAACCAGUGGUCGUGCAAGUGGCAGAUGAAUGCGUUUUCAAGCUCGGGGUCUAUCUGCGCAGGCUCUGC